rnacentral:rRNA from 1 species
GAGUUUGAUCCUGGCUCAGGAUGAACGCUAGCGGGAGGCUUAACACAUGCAAGUCGAGGGGCAGCACGGGAUAGCAAUAUUCUGGUGGCGACCGGCGCACGGGUGAGUAACACGUAUGCAACCUACCUCGUACAGGGGGAUAACCCGGAGAAAUUCGGACUAAUAUCCCAUAAUGAUAUUGAGAGGCAUCUCUUAAUAUUUAAAGCUCAGGCGGUACGGGAUGGGCAUGCGGAACAUUAGCUAGUUGGCAGGGUAACGGCCUACCAAGGCUGCGAUGUUUAGGGGACCUGAGAGGGUUAUCCCCCACACUGGUACUGAGACACGGACCAGACUCCUACGGGAGGCUGCAGUGAGGAAUAUUGGUCAAUGGGCGCAAGCCUGAACCAGCCAUCCCGCGUGAAGGAAGAAGGCGCUAUGCGUUGUAAACUUCUUUUCCAGGGGGAGAAUUUUUCCGUCGUGACGGGAAUUGACGGUGCUCUGGGAAUAAGCAUCGGCUAACUCCGUGCCAGCAGCCGCGGUAAUACGGAGGAUGCGAGCGUUAUCCGGAUUUAUUGGGUUUAAAGGGCGCGUAGGCGGAUAGAUAAGUCAGUGGUGAAAUUCUGCAGCUUAACUGUAGACUUGCCGUUGAUACUGUCAGUCUUGAGUAUGGUCAAGGCAGGCGGAAUGUGUAAUGUAGCGGUGAAAUGCUUAGAUAUUACACAGAACACCGAUUGCGAAGGCAGCUUGCUGGGCCAUUACUGACGCUGAUGCACGAAAGCGUGGGGAUCGAACAGGAUUAGAUACCCUGGUAGUCCACGCCGUAAACGAUGAUCACUCGCUGUUGGCGAUACACAGUCAGCGGCUAAGCAAAAGCA